GUUACCGCGAGGUAUAACCUGAAAGAAGCCUAAAACAAAAGUUGGUACUAACGAACAGAAACUGCAUACUAAGGCUUACCCGGGGGGUAAUGUGGCAAUAAACACAGACGCCCUAAAGCCGUCCGUAACCCGGGGUAGUAAAUGCAGUAGUAUUAACAGGAAGAUAAUGCA
rfam:Petrimonas mucosa isolate ING2-E5A genome assembly, chromosome: I